GCGGCGAUGGUCCAACGGUUAUGAUUCGAGCCUUCCAAGCUCGAGACCCGGGUUCGACUCCCGGUCGCCGCA
rnacentral:tRNA from 4 species